GUUCAGUGACACAGACUGCAGUGUGCUCAACUAUUUCAUCUGUCACAUCACGGAUCCAGUGAGGGAGAGGCAGAUAAUGAAGCUGCGCGUGAAGUCUGACGGGAGCAUCUUUGAUUCUGAUGUGCAGUCGAGCAUUUUAGAGCUGAUCAAGCAGAAGCUGGAGGAAAAUGGCAUGCUGGAGAACACCACAGUGACCUGGAGGAAGCAGUCGGAUGGACAAAUCUUUCACAAGGAAAAAAACGCUCCCUAGAUGCUACUAAUGUACCAACGUGCUGAUAAAGUAAAUGUGGAGUGUCUGAGGCAAUGGAAAAGGAACAAGCACAGAAUUUCUUUCAUUACUAAAAUGUCUGUUGGUAAUAAUGUGGGUUAUAGUUUAUCUCCUGUUGAUUAUGUCUAUAUUAU